UCAAAUGAAUUGACGGGACCCGCACAAGCAGAAGAGCGCGUGGUUUAAUUCGACGGCAAUCGAAGAACCUUACCAGGGUUUGAAAUGUAUCUGCAUGCCCUAUGAAAAUAGGGAGGCCUUCGAGGGUGAUACACAGGUGCUGCAUGGCCGCCGUCAGCUCGUGUCGUGAGAUGUAGGGUUAAGUCCCGAAACGAGCGCAACCCCUAUUCUAUGUUACAAGUGUCUUAGAAAACCGCCUCGGUAAAACGAGGAGGAAGGUGGGGAUGACGUCUGGUCCGCAUAGCCCUUAUGUCCUGGGCUACACACGCGCUACAAUGGCCGAUACAGUAGGAAGCCAAAUCGUAAGAUGGAGCUAAUCCUUAAAGUCGGUCUCAGUUCGGAUUGAGGUCUGAAAUUCGACCUCAUGAAGUUGGAUUUGCUAGUAAUCGUAGAUCAGCAAUGCUACGGUGAAUACGUUCUCGGGUCUU
rnacentral:rRNA from 1 species